CUCCAUGAUUUCCUCCCAGAAUGGUUUCGUCCACCAUGGUGAAUAAUGGGAGUGACUCAUCUUUCUUCAUUUCACCAUAAUGGCGACCAUGGCGAUCGUUAACUGUAAACGUGUUGCGAGAUGUUGACUGCGUUUCGGGUCGUUUAGCAAUCAUAAAAAAAAUUUUUGAACAGCAAAACUGUUGCGUUAUGCUGAACGCAAAAAUGUAGUCGAUGUUACUGAUUGAAUAAGGAUAAUACCCAUAGCGCCUGCUGUUCAUGUGGCUUCUGUUAACUGAUAAACUGGUGUUUUCAGCAUAGUAAGCCUGACGGUGAACGGUAUUCGUGGUAAGCGUACGAAGACUGUCCACACGUCUGUUUUUUUGUAUGGAGUCUGUUUUUACAGACUCUUGUUUUUGGGGACGGCAAAUGAUGACAUACCAGACCUACUAUGCUGAGACACAGUUUUGUCUUAUUUUGCAUCCUGAGCCUGUAUUAAAACUAUUGAAUAAAGAUUUUGAUGAUUAAA